rnacentral:rRNA from 1 species
GACGAACGCUGGCGGCGUGCUUAACACAUGCAAGUCGAACGUGAUUUUUGUGGAAAUUCUUUCGGGAAUGGAAAUGAAAUGAAAGUGGCGAACGGGUGAGUAACACGUGAGCAACCUACCUUACACAGGGGGAUAGCCGUUGGAAACGACGAUUAAUACCGCAUGAGACCACAGAAUCGCAUGAUAUAGGGGUCAAAGAUUUAUCGGUGUAAGAAGGGCUCGCGUCUGAUUAGCUAGUUGGAAGGGUAAAGGCCUACCAAGGCGACGAUCAGUAGCCGGUCUGAGAGGAUGAACGGCCACAUUGGAACUGGGACACGGUCCAAACUCCUACGGGAGGCAGCAGUGGGGAAUAUUGCACAAUGGGGGGAACCCUGAUGCAGCGACGCCGCGUGAGCGAAGAAGGUUUUCGAAUCGUAAAGCUCUGUCCUAUGAGAAGAUAAUGACGGUAGCAUAGGAGGAAGCCCCGGCUAAAUACGUG